rnacentral:lncRNA from 1 species
CAACAUUUAUAAUAAUAUAUAUACAUUGUAUUCUAUAAAUUCAGAAAUUAUAACGUUAAUAGUGCAGGGAUACAGGCGAUCCCCUCUAUCUGGUAAAUGACGUCAUAAAGGCACGCAUAAUUUUUUCCAGUGAAGAACAAACUUGAAAGCGGUCUAUUGAUGGACAUACAAAUAACGCAUAACCUUGCAUCACUAAAACUACCUUUCACAACCUAACACAUUUUAUCUUUUUAAAAACUGCAACAGAUCUAUAUGUGUGCAUUUAUCAUUGUGAUUUCAGGGAAUCCCCAUACAUUUAAAUGUAAUUGCUAUCAGAAUAUGAGUUCUUAUUAUUGUGAUACCCACCCAGUCACAUUAUUUGCCUUCAUU